UUAAACUGAAGAGUUUGAUCAUGGCUCAGAUUGAACGCUGGCGGCAGGCCUAACACAUGCAAGUC
rnacentral:rRNA from 1 species